UAGAUGGGACAAUCAAUCUCAACUUCAAUGUCAAGGUAACAACAAAAGUAAACAGAAAAAGACAUGAUUUUGAAAGCAUUAAGGCAGCUAUUAGUUCACAAUAAUAGGAUUAGAUUCUCAAAGGUAAGCAAUACCCUUGGGUAACAUGCUUGGUUAAGAUUUUUGUUUUAGGUUAUAUUG